rnacentral:rRNA from 1 species
UACGUAGGGUGCAAGCGUUGUCCGGAAUUAUUGGGCGUAAAGAGCUUGUAGGCGGUUUGUCGCGUCUGCUGUGAAAUUUCGGGGCUCAACCCCGAACUUGCAGUGGGUACGGGCAGACUAGAGUGUGGUAGGGGAGACUGAGAAUUCCUGGUGUAGCGGUGAAAUGCGCAGAUAUCAGGAGGAACACCGAUGGCGAAGGCAGGUCUCUGGGCCAUAACUGACGCUGAGAAGCGAAAGCAUGGGGAGCGAACAGG